ACGCUCGACACCUACGGAGGCAGCAGUGGGGAAUAUUGCACAAUGGGGGAAACCCUGAUGCAGCGACGCCGCGUGAGUGAAGAAGUAUUUCGGUAUGUAAAGCUCUAUCAGCAGGGAANAAAAUGACGGUACCUGAGUAAGAAGCCCCGGNUAACUACGUACCAGCAGCCGCGGUAAUCUGAGCGGGCUGGCAAGGC
rnacentral:rRNA from 1 species